AGACAAUCUUCUGUCUGCCUGAAAAAGUUCCAUGUCAUCGAUUUUCACUGUUUUGAGUGAAGUUUGCGCUAAUUAAAAUGCUGGAUUAGGAUGCAAGUAGGUCCUUAAUUAAUAGUGCAUUUUGGUCAUGUAGCGCACCAUAGGAACAUCGCAUGUGUGAUCACUGAUCACCGAAACUAGUGUUCCUGAUAAAAUAUGAGUUAUAUGGACAAUAUAGCUGGUUUAGCCAACUCUCAUCAUUCGUUUAAUAUGUAUAUAUAUGGGAAAUUUUAAUGAGACUUUAUAAAAAAUAAGACCUUCAUAAACUCUUAUCUCAUAUUUUAGCACAAUGUUUUAUGAUGUUGGUAUGAAAAUUGACGUUAAACUGUGAGAUGAUAAAUAAUUCAUACGAUGAAUCCCACUUUUGAGAGAAUCUUCUUAGCAUUUUUCAUAUAUAUACAUGUGCACACACAAAUAUAUAUAAAGUUGGGCAAGAGGUUAAAACCGUGCGCUCAACCCUAGAUGUUUAUUGGUUUGGUUUAAUUAUAUCACAACCAGAAAGGAUGCAGCUCCAGGCUCAGAGACAGAUCAAGUCAGAGAUGGAAGAGGAGUUUCAUUGUUUAGAGGAAAGGAAAGCAUCAUUAAUAUUCUGCGUGGAUACAUACGGAGGUAACGCAGUAAGCUUUCUGUAACUAGAAAAUGAUUCUCUCUAUACGUACAUGCAUAUAUAUAUAUGUAUGUAUGUAUGUAUAUAGUAUAUCGAUGGCCUGUGAGUAAUACAUGAAACUGAUCGUAUCUUUUGUCCGAGAAUUAAAAGAUCAUCGGAGAGAGCCUGGACUCUGCUCCGGAAGGAAUAUUAUUGCUAUAUAUUUCUUGGGUUGUAUCACAUGCAUUCUUAUCUUUUAGUUAAUAUUAAUUAUAUAUCUUUCUCCUAUAGCAGAGGCUAGUGGUUACUUCGUUAUCUUUCAAGCUAAUUUGUGAGAGUUCCACAUAAUAAGAUCCAUACUUCAUUCCCAAACUUUUAUCCUUACUUGUCCACCAGCAGAUUUCUGCAGGUUCGGCAUGUAAAUGGCCAUUUCUUAUUGAUGACCUCUCUCGUUUUAAAUAAAUACAAAAGUUCAUAUUAACCUCUUCUUUUUUCAAUUUAAUUUUUUUAUACAUUCUCUCUUUCUCUCUUUCAUUUGAAAUGUAAAAGUUUGAAUCUUUUUUUAUACAUUCUCCCACAUAUUUUUCUCUUGAAAAUGAGAACUAAAAACUAAAUCCAGAACAGACCCUUAUUUUUGUAUGUCAGUUCCAGCCAAGCAUGCCACGGAUGUCAGUUACUUUAUACUGUUAGGCAUGGAAAUCUAUUGAUUUGAUUAGUCCCCUCUAACAUACUAUAGACUGCUUUUAUAUCCGCCUCUAAUAAAAUCUAUCUUUGGAGCCAUUUUCUAGUAGUGGCAACACAAUCGAUCCAUACGGCUAGAAUUGCUGGGUUUUGUUCCGGUUGUAGUGUACAACUUAAUCUAUGCAUUCUAACCUGGUGGCAAUACAACUGAUAUUUUUACUUUUUUUGUGUGUGUUUUUGCGCUGGUGUAUAUAUACAUUUUAGACAGAUACGAUGUUUUGAUUCCAAGAAUUAUAGAAAUAAUAUAUCUGUAAGAAUCUUUUCCACAGGGGAGAGAAGGACAGGACCACGCUGAUUGUCAGUUCAAAGGUCCGCCAGAAAUAGAGCGUUUACACUGCCACAAAUUGCAGCAGCAUAUAAUAUGAAUCGUGCUAUACGCACAUUUAUAUUUUGGUUAAUUUCAAUUUACUAUCUUGAAAUUUCAUGGUUUUCAACAUUUGCUACAUGAAGUUUUUUUCAUUCCAGAGUUAUACUUCAAGUCUUAAUUUUGGGACAGUUUCAUAUAUUCGUUAAGCUUUCCGUUAAAAGUUCUGUUAAAUGAUGAAGUGGCGCACACGUGAACAAUAACUAAGCGUCACGUAUCAAUAUGAGUCCUACGUGAAUUUAAAAAAUACAAAAACACAAAAAAUAAAAAAAUGGGCGUCUUCUUCAACCCCAGACGCACUUCCGAUACCCAACCCCCAGAAACUCCCACCCACCCCAAAACUUAACGGAUGUUUGAAAUUGUCCCAAAAUUAAGACUUGAGGUAUGACUCUGGGAUGAAAAAAAUUUCAUGUACCAAAUGUUGAAAACCAUAAAACUUCAUAAUAAUAAACUGAGAUUAAUCUUUUAUUUUUUUAUUUUUACACGUUUGUGUUAAUUUAUUUUUUAAUUUUUUUCAAUCAUUUGAUCUUAAAUUCGUAAAUUAAGAAUAAUGUAUGAAAAGUAAAAAGAGUUAUAAUAUCUCUUCUUGUACCUCCGCCAGUGUAAAUAAUAAGUUUUAUGUUAAAGUCUGCUACCAAAUACCUACCUAGCUACAUCCGUAAGACCAGUGCUAUAUAGUACAUGUAUGCGCAAGGGAUAAUAACUUCUCUUCUCCUCCUUUAUAUUGCUGAUGUUGAUCUGAAAACCAAACCCAACUUUCAAUCGCAAUUCCGGGUACCAAGUGUCUCUAUAAUAUUUAUCUAAUUACUAAUAUGGUAU
rnacentral:lncRNA from 1 species